CCCGGGGAAGCGGGACCCGGGGACCCGGUGAAGGAGCCAGGCGAGGAGGUUCCCGAUCCGGGCGAAGGCGUGCCGGAGGAGCCCACCACAGAGCCGGCUCCUUCUGGGGCGGGGCGGCUGCUGGACCGGGACUCCUCGACUGACUGUAGCUACCCUUAGAGGAAAGGCAUCCGAGGUUAUUGUGCGGGGAAAAAACCCACCCCGCUACCCAAAAGAGGCUCUUGAGCAAUGAAAUGGAACCUGGAAGAGGCUGCAAAAGUUCGCUACAGGCACCGGGAGUCUUGCAGCUACAAGAAAAGGCAACCUGCCCAGAUUUAUUUCACGCAAUUUUCUGAUGACGGAGCAGACCUGCCUGAUUGAUAUAUACCAACUGCACCUUGAUUGGAAACAUUCCGCUUAACAGGCAGCUUAGAUCCGCUUGCGGAGCUACCCUUUUGUGUAAAAAAAAACACACAAAAAACCAC